AGAGUUUGAUCCUGGCUCAGAGUGAACGCUGGCGGUAGGCCUAACACAUGCAAGUCGAACGGCAGCACAGUAAGAGCUUGCUCUUAUGGGUGGCGAGUGGCGGACGGGUGAGGAAUACAUCGGAAUCUACCUUUUCGUGGGGGAUAACGUAGGGAAACUUACGCUAAUACCGCAUACGACCUUCGGGUGAAAGCAGGGGACCUUCGGGCCUUGCGCGGAUAGAUGAGCCGAUGUCGGAUUAGCUAGUUGGCGGGGUAAAGGCCCACCAAGGCGACGAUCCGUAGCUGGUCUGAGAGGAUGAUCAGCCACACUGGAACUGAGACACGGUCCAGACUCCUACGGGAGGCAGCAGUGGGGAAUAUUGGACAAUGGGCGCAAGCCUGAUCCAGCCAUACCGCGUGGGUGAAGAAGGCCUUCGGGUUGUAAAGCCCUUUUGUUGGGAAAGAAAAGCAGUCGGCUAAUACCCGGUUGUUCUGACGGUACCCAAAGAAUAAGCACCGGCUAACUUCGUG
rnacentral:rRNA from 1 species